AUUGAACGCUGGCGGCAGGCCUAACACAUGCAAGUCGAGCGGAGCGGGGACGGGUGAGUAACACGUGGGUAACCUCCCAUCAGAGGGGAUAACACUUGGAAACAGGUGCUAAACCGAUACUGAUGGAUGGACCCGCGGUGCAUUAGCUAGUUGGUGAGGUAACGGCUCACCAAGGCCACGAUGCAUAGCCGACCUGAGAGGAUGAUAGGCCACACUGGGACUGAGACACGGCCCAGACUCCUACGGGAGGCAGCAGUGGGGAAUCUUGGACAAUGGACGAAAGUCUGACGGAGCAACGCCGCGUGAGUGAAGAAGGUUUUCGGAUCGUAAAACUCUGUUGUUGGAGAAGCGGUAUCUAACCAGAAAGCAACGGCUAACUACGUGCCAGCCGCCGCGGUAAUUC
rnacentral:rRNA from 1 species